AAACCGUGGUGCGGGCAUUGGGUGGUGUAGCCCUUGAAGCGCUCCCAUGCUUCAGAGAAUGAUUCUGAAUUCUUCUGAUUGAAUCCUGAAAUCUCACUCCUUAAUCU
rfam:Arabidopsis thaliana chromosome 2, complete sequence.